GCCUCUGUAGCUCAAUGGCAGAGCACUGGGCUUGUAAACCAGGGGUCGAGAGUUCAAUCCUCACAAGAGGCA